rnacentral:other from 1 species
UUUUACCUGCUGUGUGCGAUAUUUAUGGUUUUUUUAUAAUCCAACAGUUAUUUGUUGAAGGGAUAGUCUCUUGGCACAGAUGUAUGUCUCUGGUGUAUUGUGCCAGUGAGAAAACGUGAAGUGGUCAAGGCAUUCCCUUAUUUUUGAACUUCAGGGUUUUAAUUUUAACCAUAAAACGGCAUGGUGGGUGAUUU